rnacentral:rRNA from 1 species
UACAGAGGUCUCAAGCGUUUGUUCGGGAUUCAUUGGGCGUAAAGGGUGCGUAGGCGGCGCGGUAAGUCGGGUGUGAAAUCUCGGAGCUUAACUCCGAAACUGCAUUCGAUACUGCCGUGCUUGAGGACUGGAGAGGAGACUGGAAUUUACGGUGUAGCGGUGAAAUGCGUAGAUAUCGUAAGGAAGACCAGUGGCGAAGGCGGGUCUCUGGGCAGUAACUGACGUGAGGAGCGAAAGCGUGGGGAGCGAACAGG